rnacentral:rRNA from 1 species
GACAGAGGGUGCAACCGUUGUUCGGAAUUACUGGGCGUAAAGCGCGUGUAGGCUGCUUCGCAAGUCGGAUGUGAAAGCCCUGGGCUCAACCCAGGAAGUGCAUUCGAAACUGCAGAGCUGGAGUCCUGGAGAGGAAGGCGGAAUUCUCGGUGUAGAGGUGAAAUUCGUAGAUAUCGAGAGGAACACCGGUGGCGAAGGCGGCCGUCUGGACAGUGACUGACGCUGAGACGCGAAAGCGUGGGGAGCAAACAGG